UUCUUAGCCCGAACCCGACCCGACCGUCGGGUACCCAUCGGGCUUAAUUUCUAUCAUUUUUACUCAGGCCGGGCUCGGGCGUUAGAUGAGUGGUCACGUGAUGCGUUUCAAUUAGCGCGAGAAAGCUGCAUUGCGAAGAACGAAGAUGGAUGAGGUGAAACAAAGGGGGACUAUCUAUCACCAUCUUCACCACCAUUAUCACCAGUGUCUUCAUGACAUCAUGAGUGUCCUGCACCAACACUGUGCAGCUGCAUAAGACAAUAAAAUUAUGAGCAGUGACCAAAGAGGCUGUGGCAGUCCAAACUCCACCAGGAAGUCCAUGAGGUGGAGUCAGACCUGAUUAAUAGCACAGAUGGUAAUCUUACAGACAGACAGGAGCAUACUCAUUUUCACCCCAGUGUACCCCUCACAGCUUGUACAAUGGAGCUCUUCAGAGUUUAGAGUGAGAGCACCAGCCUCUGGACUCAACCCUCUGGCACAGAAGCAAGACACUUAGUGGUUUUAUUUCUCUUGGUAGGUGUUUUGUGUUUCUUUGCAGUCAAUUUGUAUCUCUACUGUCAUUUUCAUCACUUUGUAGUUUUGUGUUUUUGUUGUAACUUGCCAUCUUUUUUUUUUUGCAUUUUGCAUUACUUUGUGGUCGCUCUUUGUCAGUUUGUUCCCCUUUUUAGUUGUUUGCCGUCUUGUAAAACUUGUUUCCAAUCUUCUGCACCUCUUCAAGGUUGCUUUGCAAGUCUUUGCUGUCAUUGUCUUUGUAGUAUUAGAUUGAGCUUCCAACAAGAAAUGUUAAUGGUCACUUCAGUGUAUGGGGCCCUUGGCCUGGACCAAAGUCUGUUCAGUAAGUUCCCCUGCCCCUGAUCACUGACAUGCAAUUUAAGUUGAACUAUUGUUAUUCUUUCUCUUUUAUUGGAAAUCAUACUUGAACAUGGCAUUUUACAGUUUUGAUGCUGCACAUAUCACUGUACAAAGUUCAUGUAAGAGUGAUGAUGAUGCGGGAGGAGACAAAUGUGAACCUGAGCUGCAUCAGUCUCUGAUCAAUAAUGAGCUUAUGACAGUGAUGGACUGCAGGAAUUGCGGAGAAAUUGGAGAGACAAAUUGUCCAGAGCUCAGACUACACAGUUCCACCUUGUUUCAAGGUCACUGCCUUGUAGUUCCUGUGAAAUCAAACAUGCCUUAACUGGAUAAACCUCAAAGUUCAUUUUAUGGUAAUAAAAGAAUAUACACUUAGGACUAAUCAUUUGUACAUGAAUAGUUCAUUGCGUUUUGCUAGAUGUGCAAGACCUGCUGUGUCCUUUUCAUUUGUGCAUUUUUUUUUUUUAAAUACAGCGACUCUUAUUCAAAUGACAGCCAUACUGGUUUGUCAACUGUGUAUAAGGCUGCAAAGCAGAAGGGAACUAUUAGGGUUGAGCAGUAUUGUUAUCAACAUUACUUAUGAGAGAAUAUUCUACUCUUUUGGGAAAAACUACGAUACUGUAUAUUGCACACAUUGUUUUUUUUGCAUUUGAGUGAUUCAGGCCAGUGGUUUCCAUCCAGGUGUGGUUUCCCACCCCAGAUGCCAAAUGACUAAGAUGAGUGUCUCAGUGUCAUACCAGUUUUUGUUAGGUUUCUUUUCUUUUCAAGCUAUGUACUUUUAAACCUUUUCAAGUAUAGAGAUUAGCACUGUUUGAUUGAUGGCACUCGUGUUCAUGCCUGUCUGUAUUCAGUGGUUUGUUUUGUGAGAUCUCUAGAGCAUCAAAUCGUAAUUGCCAAAUUAGCACUCGUAAAAUCAUGAAAUCCUUGAAUCAGUGUGCUCUCCUGUGUUCCUUGUCAGUCUGUCUUACCUCUCUGCCAUUAAAACAAUUAUAAUUCAACAAAUAAAGAC